rnacentral:rRNA from 1 species
UACGUAGGGGGCUAGCGUUGUCCGGAAUUAUUGGGCGUAAAGAGCUCGUAGGCGGCUCGGUAAGUCAGGUGUGAAACCUCCAGGCUCAACCUGGAGACGCCACCUGAUACUGCCGUGGCUAGAGUUCGGGAGAGGGAUGCGGAAUUCCUGGUGUAGCGGUGAAAUGCGCAGAUAUCAGGAGGAACACCGGUGGCGAAGGCGGCCUGCUGGGCAGUAGCUGACACUGAGGCGCGACAGCGUGGGGAGCAAACAGG